rnacentral:lncRNA from 1 species
UUCAACCUGUGGGGUCACAGGGAUGGCGGGUCAGGGGUGACCUCUCACCACAGCAGUUUUCUCUGUCGGGACCUCGCUGCCCUCCUCUCCUGCUCUGCCACCUCCACUCGUGCUUCCGUCCCACAUGGAGCCUGAGACACAGACUGGGACCCAGGCAGUGUGCUUGGGAGGAUGUCCCCAGGGGCUGUCGGGAAGGCACAUGGGCAGGGAGACCACAAAGCAGAGAGCCACUGGAGCGUGCAUUGCUGAGCCGGGCCAGGUGAGGGCAGCUGGGCUUGAGUCCACCAGGACCCUCCAUGAUCUGGGGGACAUGAAAAGGCACCCCAGGACGGCCCUGAAUGACGGGGAGCAGGGGCCUGUCCUCGCUGACCACUUUCCCCCUGACAGGAUUGUCCCUGGGGACGCAGCGCCCACCCUUCACUGGGGAAAGUUGUGAGCAGGAAGCCUGGCAUUCAGCAGGACGUGGGCUGAGGCCCCAGCAAGACGAGGACCACCCGCAAGGCUGCAGCUGAUGUCAGAGGGGGGCAGAGGGGACGCGGCGCACAGGGCACAGUGGCAUCCACUAGGGGUGGUGAAGAGGCAGCGCCUGCCAGGAGCCAGAUGGGUGCCCAACACAAACAGCCGCCCGGCCCAGCAGCGGAGGUGAGCGGCUCGGGACAGCUGCAGAGCUAUUUCUUCUAACCUCCUUUCCCGAUUUGGAAGGCGGUGCCUCCUCCGUGUGAAAACAGUGAAGGAAACAGGAGCACAUUGGUGCCAGCUCUCCAGGCAUGGGGACAGGAUGGUGGCAGCCAUGGGUGCCCAGAAGGGAGGCUGCUUGCCUGCUCAGAAGUAGGAAAACGUGAAUGGGACAGACAAGGACAGAGAAGUGCUCCUGGCAGGAACCUGUGAUCAGUUGCCAGGGCUCCCAGGAGUCAGAAGAGCCACCAACCUCCUGUGCCCGCAGCCUCUCUGAGGACCCCCUGGGGGAAAGGGGUCGCACGGUCAGGAGGAAGAUCCCAGGCUUGGAGGCAGAGGUCUCUGAGACACAGCUACCUGCAUGUCCCUAAAGUUCCAUGUAGAGAUGAGAACACUGUGAAGAGCCCAGUUGAAAGGCGCAGCGAUCAUGAUUAUCAUGACCCCCCCCAGAGCUGGCUCAUAAUCCACAGGUACAGAUGACACACCUGAAAUCAGAGGGUAAGCCACGUGUCCGGGUCCGUGCCUCAAGCAUCAGACCCCAGACUUGAACCAGCUCCUCUGAGUCCCAGAUCAAAGCUCCUCUGAUCUCACAUUUCUGGAAAAAUCCCAAACGCAGCUGUCUAGGUACAGACACCCACAGGAAGAGCCCACCAGAAUGUCACGAGCUGGUGAAGGAAGCAGGAGGAAGACAGGCUGGGGGUGACCAAUGACCCAGCCUCAUCCUGGAGAUGUGCAGAAGGAAUCAAAAGAGGGUCAAGGCCAAGGGGUGCCAGGAGUCGUGGGCUGCAGACUCUCACCCUGAUUCUGCAAGCCCUUGUGCUGAUCUGGGUUUUCCCGUGACCGUGGUCUGCCACAGGGUGCCUUUGGAGUCAGUGAUCCUGUGGACAACAAGUUCUGGAAGGUCAGUGAGGGUGCAGAGCUGGCCAAGGCUCCCUAGGGGAGCUAGCUCUGGGGCUGCAUAGGUCAGGAAAGGGGGGCUUCCCUGUCCCAGGGCUCUAAUAAACCCUACUGAUUGGAGAUGGCCAGGCUCGAUUUCAGCUGUGAGGACCUGACUGCCGCUCCCCCGACUCCCACUGCCUCUGGACAAGAGCUGGGCUCGAGUCACACCCUCCCCUGCUCACAGCCCCGCAGCCUGCCUUCAUGUGGCUGAGUGUGUACCAGGGCGGAGAAUUGUGGCAGGGGUGGGAGGAGGCUAGGAGAAAAAGCAGCCACCUGUUCACCCCAGUUCUGCUCAGAGCCUCUCUCCUGUCCAGAGCCACCGAGUGGGACAGGAUGGUGGGAGGCAGACCCACGCACCUCAAUUCUGAGCACUCACACCAGUUGGGCCUGGGUCCCGGAGCCAGCGCGUGGGCGCCCGCCUGUGCUCCUGUUUCUGGAAGCUUUAUAUACAAGGCACAGAGGUGCGAAGGAGGGAUGCUAGACUGGCCCAGGGAGAGGAGCCGGCCUGGCAGCCUGGAGGAGAGUCUUAACUCUCAGACCUGGGUAUAUUGGCAUCACUCAGCAAUCAGACAAGAUGGAUGUCCUCCCAGGACUGUUUUGUGUGUGUGUGUUUUUUUUUAAGUGGGCAAAACCUUUACCCUUUUCCAUUCUGUUUCCUCAUCCUGUGUAGGGGAUGAUAAUAGAGCCUCCCUCCAAGGGCUGUUGUGACUAGAAUAGGGCCUCAGCAAAUGGUAGCUGCUUUUUCAGUUGUUAGGAUCAUUACUAUAAAUGUGUGUGUUCAAGUACAGAACCUGGCGGCGCCGGAAGAAUGGCUGGAAGUGCAGGUGGGUAGAAGCUGUCAGUGGAUGACAUCGAAGAUGGAAAGAGACACUUGAUUUGCACCUGCUUGGUUUAGUUAUUGUGAUCUGGUAUCCAUGGAAACUGCUGAAUAUUGAUACUCAAAAUAGGCAGCUUUUCUCUGUGCUAAGAGCAGUGAGGGAAGGGGGUGCUCUGCACUUUGCUCCCCAACAGAGGCGGCAGGUUCCUCACCCACCCUGUUCCUUUCUCCCUACCAGGGAGCAAGUCCUUCAAGUGCAGUCAAUGAAUAAAGGACAUACAGAAAUCAAAGGUCCAGCUGGUUUCUGGGGUGCAGCAAAUGCUACCCAUCUUAGUUGUGGAAUGAACGAGUGAGCGAGUGAAUGGAAGGUGGGUGUUGUCUGAUCAACUCAGGAACAGGCAGGAUUGACCUGUGGGUAAGUGACCUCGGAGCCGUCCUCUGGGAGGGCUGGGGAGGGCAGGCUUAGUCAUCACCUCUUGCUUUGGGCUCACACAAGGCUCAUGGGACCAGACUGGGUUCUGUUUGAGAUGAGGUCUAAGUGGUGAAAAGCUACAGCUUGGGGUCAACCCAAUCUGAGCGAACUGCUGACUCAGCUGCUGCCUUGCUUUGUAAACUUCAGCAAACUCUUAAUUUCUCCAGGCCUCUGUGCUUCUCUAUGAAGUGGCCUGACAGUGUCUACCUCUCGGGGAUGUUCUGCAGGUUGAACGGCCCCCUGUGCAUAAAUGUGCAUUUGCCACUGGGAAGGAGAUCGCACUGUCUUCCCCAGAGGCUCUGUGGAGCAGGAAUGAUAGCAGGUCUCUUCUUUCAAGUGAUUCAGAUCCACGAACGGGAAAGUCUUUGUAGAUUUUGAGCACUCACAGCAUGGCUUGAGUGGCACAGAGUCUAGGGAGACCUGGAACUUGGAGCACUACUGGGACAAGCUCCCCAGCCAGGAGGGAGGGGACCACAAAGCAGGAAGACCCCAGGAGCCUGGCAGGGAGCUCCAUCCACAAGCCAGGUGCACACAGUAGGACUGCGUGGGGUCGAGACCUGUGCCUGACUGCCUCCAUGUGCCCUUGGGUAAGUGGUUUAACGUCUUGGGGCCUCUG